UACGGGAGGCAGCAGUGGGGAAUUUUGGACAAGGGGCGAAAGCCUGAUCCAGCCAUGCCGCGUGUGUGAAGAAGGUCUUCGGAUUGUAAAGCACUUUAAGUUGGGAGGAAGGACAGUAAGUUAAUACCUUGCUGUUUUGACGGUACCAACAGAAUAAGCACCGGCUAACUUCGUGCCAGCAGCCGCGGUAAUACGAAGGGUGCAAGCGUUAAUCGGAAUUACUGGGCGUAAAGCGCGCGUAGGUGGUUCGUUAAGUUGGAUGUGAAAGCCCCGGGCUCAACCUGG
rnacentral:rRNA from 1 species